rnacentral:lncRNA from 1 species
AUGAAAGAAGCUCAGCACAAUCAACCUUUAAAGUUUGAAGAUCUUCAGAUCAAUAACGUAAGUCGGAUAUAUUUUUAAAUAUAUUAUUUAAUUCAUCAUUGCCACGUAGACUAGACUUUUGCAACCGGUUUUUUAAAAUAUCAUUGAGAGUUCAUAGAUUCCAGACAGGGGAUUCCUUUUAAUAAGGAACCAGUCGAGUUAUUUAUAGAAUGCCAAAUUAUUAUUAUUUUUUUUUAAUUUAUUUUUUUUAACUCGCUUGCAGAUUUUUAACCGCUUAAAAAUUACCUGCGAUCGGGAAUGCAGACGAGUCUUCCUUGACAUAUUUAUCAUUAAGAAAAUAAUUCUGUUAAGCAGAUUUAAGGAAAAAGUUGGUGUAACCUGUACUUUUUUUACCUGUACUUUCAUAAAAAAAAGAAAAAAAAUCGACUUUGCAGUUUUCCGUGACCUUGUGGAUCGGUACCAGAAAGGCAUUUAUCACGUUUUUAUGUAUAUAUACCUCAAUUGUGAGGUCUUUAAUUUUAAUAUCGUUCUCUUUUCGGUUGUCUUUAUCUUUAAUUAUCUUAUUGUUGUUAAUUUAUGUGAUAGCUGUAACGUCCAGCAGAUUAGAAGUUUAGAUCCUGGAAAUAAGGGAUGUGUUUAUCACGUAAUAAUUGCUUGUCACAUACACCCACCUUUGUACAUCGUCUUGCAAAAUAGGAAGAGGAUUUCGAAAUAUAUUGUUUAAUGAUUUUUAUUUAUGUGAUAUUUACGACAGGCAAACCGUUAAAUUUUUUGCAUGUGGGUGUAAAAUAUUAUGCAGGAAAAAUGGAUGAAUGCACAGAACUUCUUAUUCGAAUGAUGAUGCUGGUCUAUCGAUGAUCUGCAUCGCUUCCUUACGCGAAUCGUCUUCUCUACAUCACGCUGCAAAAUGAAUAAUAAUUUUUUUGCAAUUAUUAUCCUUUAAAGGAAAAAAAAAAAAAACUCGUUAAAAUUAUUCUUGCCUAUAUGUCAUUUUUGCAUAUUAAUGUCGAGUGUAUGAAACAUUGGAUGGCACAACAUCUUGAAGCGAUAACAAGACACAACAAUGAACACAUAAAGGUCAACGACGAAGUUCAAAACGAAAUUCACGACAGGAUGUAAAUCAUAUUGUCAUGUCUAUAAUAAUAUAUAACUAUCAAAAUUUAAUGAAGAGCAUUUAGACGAUAAAAACUUAAUUAGGCGAAUUGUUCUUUUGGACGUUUCGAUUUGUAUCAACAGAACAAUAAGACAGAAUGUUUUUAGUUUUUUCCUCCUAUUUUUGUGGUAAAAACAGAACAAACGUUAGUAACUUUGUUGGUAAACAAUCCCCUCGAGCUCAUAUAUUAUCCCAGAUGUCAUAACACGUGUCUUUGUUAACCAAUCGCGACAGCAGUUUUGACCGGAUUUCGUCACGCAUCACGCUCACUCCAUUGAGCUAAUCAGGCCGUGAGAAGGACCAUCUAGUCUUUUUUUGAAGCCUGGCGAGGUGAGUGAGGUAGAGGUGCGAUGUUUGUCAACUAUCGUAUACCUCAUCCUCGUCCUUUUGGCCAUACAACUUACAGGAAUAGAUACAUUAGUCCUCCUCCUUGUCAUGUGGUACAAUACAAGAGAAGAAGCAGAAGUGUAGACAAAUUAAGAUCUCAGUCACCUUGUAAAUAUUACAGAGCUAAGGUAAGUCUAUUAGCAGCAGUAAUUAUUUAUCAGCUGUUUAAAAAGGUUACUAUAUUCUAGUGGAAACUUCAAUUUAAGUCAGAAAGAUGCUAACAAUUUUUUGCUGCAGGGAGAAUCGUAUUUUAGCCAGGAAAAUGCUUUCAAACAAUGCAAAAUACAGAUUACUCCAAAUGCCUUCAGUGUUUGAUAAAUUCGCUAUUAUUCGGUGGCAGUUUUAGGUCGUAUAUGAGUUAUGAGCGAAGAUAUUCUUCUCAUAAUAUCAGGAAUUUCCUAAUAGAUACAAUCGAUAAUUGUUUUUCUAUACGAUCGGGAACAAUCCUUACUUAUAAUCUGCGAUCAGCAAAGCGUUUAGAUGCAUUGCUUCUAUCUAGAGUUCUUUGUAACAUCAGUCUUUCUAUUUUUGAUCCGUCUGAAAAUAUGAGACUUAAAAAAAAUCCCAUGAGAAUAAAUUAGGUCAGAAAAUUAUUUUAUAGAGAAAAAAAAAAUUUUUUUUUUUGCUUGUUUUUAUCGUCUUGCGUGAAAUGUAACGCUGCUUAACUAGCGCAUGACAACGCCCGUGCGUCACAGUAUAUCGUGAUGAAUUUCACAUUCAAACAAGGUCAAAUUGUAUAUUUUUUAAAAUUACGAAUUGAUUUACGUUUCUAUGAAGUCCAUGUUAAUAUUGGGCCGAGAAUUUUAUGGGUAAUCAUAAAUCAAAUCGGUUUUUGUAGCCGUUUCUUAUGUUAGCGAGCGAGAAACAGUUGUGCGUUACAGGAAAGUUUUCUGUCACCCAUCACGAAUACUGAAGACCACCCGCACAUCACUUAUCGUUCAGGAUGCAAACUAAUUCGAACUACAAAGCAGGAAGUGAUGUCAUAGAUUCUUAAUGAGACAUCUCUUAAGUAGAAAACAAAUUUGUCUUAUCUAAAUUGACGAACCAUUACUUCCUAAUGCGAUGAUAAUCUGAAUAAAAUUCCGAUAUUAUCUCAUUCCGACAAUUUGUGUCGCUCUAAUUGAAGCACCGUGUGACAUUUGACGCCAUUAGUUUCCAAUGUCACGAUUGUUCCUUUCAAAUCCCAAGAUAUGACCUUGGAUGGAUCAUCAUUUUAUAUAUAUAUAUAUAUAUAUAUAUAUAAGUUGUGUGGGGUUAGUUGUUCU